CAGCAGCACUGAGCAGGCACCGUGUAUGCAAAGGGGAUAACAGACAGAUGAGGUAACAAUGCCGCAUAAAAAGGAUGCUGAUGCAGGGUGAAGAAUGUGUAAAAAUGUACGGUACGGAUAUCAAUUUGCCAUACAAAAAUGUCUGUUUACAUAUGCAAACUGUUGUGAUCCACGACAGAGCCUUCAGUUUCUACAUACUAUCUUUUUUACCAGAGCAAAUUACGGCAUGUACACAUUUGCUAACCCAAAGAUGAAAUUCGUAAGGACUAAUAGACGAAUCAAGACCAUAUUGUUAAAGUGAAGCUCAGAUUGACAAAUAACCAUUCUCCUCUAUUUUGUUCAAUUUGAAAAUGAUUUACUAUGUCCCUAAACCACAUAAUUCAAAACAAAUCUCAGGGCCACCAGCAGCCAGAGUAGCAAUGUGCAAAGCACCGUCCUAGGGCAAUAAACAGAAGAUCUAACAUGAUUAUUAAAAUGUCCAAAGCGCUCUCACCUGGCCAUGAGCCUCCAUUGUGGUAGCUCCACCUGGUGUUCUUCGGGUCGCAUCCAGUGACUAUCUGCCAUUCCUGAUUUUCCAUUGCAGGGUAACAGAUCUUGAGUGGCAUCUCCCCGAUGAGUUCUUCCCAGCGCUCCUCCACAAGAUCCAGUAUAGCUUCAGCCUGUUCCCCAGUUGCUAAUGACGACAGAAUUGCA
rnacentral:lncRNA from 1 species